rnacentral:rRNA from 1 species
GAUGAACGCUGGCGGCGUGCCUAAUACAUGCAAGUCGAGCGAACAUUCGAGGACUUUGCUCCUCUGACUUUAGCCGCGCACGUGUGUGUAACAUGUGUAUAACCUACCUAUAAGUCUGGUAUAUUUUCGGGAAACCGGAUCUUAUACCAUAUCAUUUAUUAAACCACAUGCUUCAAUAGUAAAAUACGUUUUUGCUGUCACUUAUAGAUGGAUCCGCGCCGCAUUAGCUAGUUGGUAAGGUAACGGCUUACCAAGGCAACGAUGCGUAGCCGACCUGAGAGGGUGAUCGGCAACACGGGAAGUGAGACACGGUCCAGACUCCUACGGGAGGCAGCAGAGGGGAAUAUUCGGCAAUGGGGGAAAGCUUGACGGAGAAAGGCGGCGUGAGGGAUGAAGGUCUUGGGAUCGUAAAACUCUGUUAUUAGGGAAGAAAAAAUGUGUAAGAAAAUAUGGACGUCUUGACGGUACCUAAUCAGAAAGCCACGGCUAACUACGUG